GAACAGUUCUUGCCCAGCUCUGUAGGGGGUCAUGAGGACUUGCUGAUGCUUACUUUGCUUGUGUCUAUCUGGACUGUGUGUCCUGGGUGAAUUGUAUGUAAAAUAUCAGUAUGUCAUUUUGACGUAUGAUCUUUUGUCUCGAAAUUGUAUAGGACUGUGCCUUCUACUUCUAGCAGGUGGAAUAGUUCUCAGAGCUCUCUAAGAAUCUGCUUCCUGGGUUACAAUCUUCAAUCCUUUCUAAGAAUCUGCUUCCUGGGUUACAUUUGAAUAAAAUCCCCCCUUCCCUCACCCUUAACUUGAUAGUCAAUUGAAUUUGUCAACAGGACAGUACCUGUCACUACUGAAGGCUUGACUCAGUGCUCCCUAGAUAACCCUAAAUUGUUCCUCUGGAGAAGAAUUUCCAUUUCUCUGGUAAAUGUGUCUACAGUUCUUAAGGUGAUCUCAUCCAUGCUAAACAAAUGGCUCUCGUUGAACUAUAAGCAAGGGUCAGCAGGGCUGUGUUCUCUUCUGGAGGCUCCAGGAGAGAAUGUUUUUAGGAGAGAAUGUUCUUAGAUGUUUUUAGAAUGUUUUCCAGGAGAGAAUGCUCCAAGCUUUUAUAGUUUUUAGAGGCUGCUUGCAUUCCUUGGCUUAUGGCUUUUUCCUUCAUCUUCAAAGCCAGGAACGGCCCACUGAGUCUUUCUCCCAUCUCAUCACUCUGACUCUGACCCUCUUGCCUUCCUCAGGACACUUGGGAUUAUACUGGGCCCACCUGGAUAAUCCCUCCAUCUCAAGAUCAGCUGAUUAGCAAACUUAAUUCUAUCCACAAACUUCAUUCUCCCUUGCCAUAUAACAUAACACAUUCACAGGUUCCUGAGAUCAGGAUGUGGAUCCACUUGGGGGCCGUUAUUGUACCUAUCACAGGAAGAUACAGGACUCUGAUCUGACCCAACAUCCACAUAUCCUCCAGCAAGCCAUCCCUGAUCCUCCAAAACCAGGUUAGGGGACCUGCUCAAUGGCCCAUGGGUUAUGUCCAUCACUCCUCCCCUAGGGUUGCGCUUGCUCAGUGGUCUGUAUCUUUGAGAAGAGUAACUGCCUUUUUCACUCUUGAUUAUCUGUCUCUUCACUAGAAUGUAAGCACCACAUGGUCAAGAAUCUUUGUUUUAUUCUAUAUGAAAAAUGAUACAAGUAAAACCUUUAGAUAUAUACAAUCCACUCAUUCAAUAUAUAUGUUGAGUGAAAGAACUGUAUUCCCAUCACCUAACUUGGUCUCUAGCACAGAGUAGAUAGAUGCUUAAUGCUGCUGCUGCUUGGAGAUGGCAAUGGCACCCCACUCCAGUACUCCCCAACUCCCGGAGCUUGCUCAAACUCAUGUCCAUUGAGGCUCCAGGAGAGAAUGUUUUUAGGAGAGAAUGUUCUUAGAUGUUUUUAGAAUGUUUUCCAGGAGAGAAUGCUCCAGGCUUUUAUAGUUUUUAGAGGCUGCUUGCAUUCCUUGGCUUACGGCUUUUUCCUUCAUCUUCAAAGCCAGGAAUGGCCCACUUCCACACCAGGGAAGCCUGGUGUGCUGCAGUCCAUGGGGUUGCAAAGAGUCAGACACGACUGAGCGACUGAACUGAACUGACUGUGCAAAAGGACUCACAUACAUUAUCUUGCCUGAUUCACACAACUCAUGAGGAAGGAGCUAUUUUUCCUCCAUCCUAUACAGAUGGGACACUGAGGUUAUAGAAGUUCAUUAUUUUGCCCAUAGUCAAAUGGCCUAAGAGGGAGUUGAACUUGUCAAGACUAAAAUUUUCUGUCUCUGCAUAUACUAAGGAGAAGGCAACGGCACCCCACUCCAGUACUCUUGCCUGGAAAAUCUCAUGGAUGGAGGAGCCUGGUAGGCUGCAGUCCAUGGGCCUGGUGGGUCACACAGAGCUGGACAUGACCGAAGUGACUUAGCAGCAGCAGCAGCAUAUGCU
ensembl:lncRNA